rnacentral:rRNA from 1 species
UCUAUCAAACCGUGAAAUUAACCUGGGUAGUACAGAGUCCCCGAAACCCAAAGAAUUUGGCGGCGACUCCCCUCAUUAGAGGAUUCUGCCCCGUAAUUGACGACCCACGAGACCCCUUACUGCUUGCUACAGUUUGUAUACCGCCGUGUAGGGCCUAUUUUAAAAUAUGCCCUUAAAAGAAUUUUCUAAGAACUCAGGUCAAGGUGCAGCCUAUCAAGCUGGGGAGGUGGAUUACAUUAACUGAAGUUGUGAAUGUGUAUGUGAAACAUCACUGCAAAUGGAUUUAAUAGUAAGUUUGGUUAUUAACCGUCCUGACUGAGUUCUGAG